GGCGAGCAGGACCCCACAGGCCGGGGACCUUCAGGCACCAGAAGACCCGGGACACACGCGGCCUGCCCGGUGGCGCGCGCUUCCCCCCUCCCCCGCGGUCGGGAGCGAGCCGCCGUGACGUCACGGGCCACCCGCCAGCCCCGCGCUCCACCGGGCAGAGCGCGUGCAGCCGCCCGAGCACAUGGACCCGCUGGUCGAGCAGGCUCCGCAAGGCCGAGAUGAAGAGAAGCUGCGGACCAGGAUGCGAAACAGCACCCCCGAAGUCCCCCCGAGUGGAUAUUCACGCGGAAAGGAUGUUGGCAGUCCUGGCGAUCUGGGAGUCAUGGCUGAAACCACCCUCCAGCCUGACCUUCACAUGACUAUGGUAAGAAGAUGCCUUCCAGCAGGCUGUGCUUGCAGACCACAUGGAGCCUCACUUGGGGAUUUUCUCAACCCUAUGGAUUUACAGUAAGAUGCAGUUGCCUGGGGAGUGAUGCUGGUGGAUGCAGAUUCUGGAACAACACACCUGGCUUGCCUUGGGAUGCUACAAGUGGCCUAAUGGAUUCUUUGAGCCUGGAUGCCCACUGGGGACAAGGACCAUAGCUGAGAAGACUGUAUCUCUACCCUUGACUCCAUGCUCUGAUCUCUCGAGCUCCCUCUAAAAUAUUCUAGCAUACCUGUUAAGCAUUCCAGAAGGAUUUGAGAAUCAUCAAAUAAAGCUGGAGUAUUUGGCGAUUUGGAAAAUUGAGAUGAGAAGCAUCUACUUAGAGAUGCCAAGUAACUCAGCAGAAGUUGCACAGCUGCUAAAUAGCAAAGACAGAAGUCUUCGGGCUGGAGGCAAUUCUAGAAGACAGUUGAACCCUCCAGAGCUAGUGGGAGACUGAUGGACUUACUACACAGGAGAUAGAUCCAGCCAUGGCAUUGUCUUGAAGAGAAUGAUACAUUCUUUCCAGAAGACAUAGAAGAUUCCUGAAACUGGGAAAUGUGCCUGGAAAUGUGAAGAGAGAAGAGAGCUCUUUCCCUCCCCUGCCUGGGCAUCUCCCACCAUACUCAAAACUUUCAACUGGGGUCACGGCUGAGCUCUCCUCUUUCAAUCCAGGUUUGAUGGAAACGUUACUUUCAAUUGAACUCACUUGUUGAACUGCCUCUGUCUUCGAAGGAUUCCAUUAGGACGGUUAAUUAUAGCUAUUGCUACAAAGCAUUAUUUGCACUCAAUUUCAGCUUUUAGGCAAUUUAGUUCAAAUGUUUUAUAUUUUACUCUUUGGAAGUGUAUGUAACCAUCAUCCUCUUACACUACAGGCUUCCCAUGAGAUAUUUUUAGAAAUCCGAAGAAAAACAGCAAUUUUGGUGGUGACCAUAUCUGGUCUAACCUUAAGUGCUGAUAAAAAACAGCCAAAGACACAAUGCUGUAUAGAUCAGGAAAGACACUCCCUUGUUUUGGGGGGUCAAGAAACUUCAAGUUGUCCUUUAUAUUACAGUAUUUAUUUGCAAACUAAUUAAAACCAAUGACAAUGGGAAUUCCUCCCCAUUUGCAGAGAUUUGUCCUUUUGCUAACUGUUGGCCAUAAUUACUGUGCUUUAAGAUGGUGGCCAUGCAAGAGUUUAGUGGGGACCCUAUUUUGAUAUCUGCAUUUCCCACGAAGUGGAAAUUAUUUUCUAUUUGUUAUUUGUGUAUAUAUGAGGGUUAUAAGUACUUGGAUGUUAUAGCACAGAUGAAGUCAAAAGCCAGCAUUCUGGAGUUGUUCAUUCCUUCCACAGUGAGUUCUGGAAUAGAGCUCAGGUCAUUUUAUGUCAAGCCUUUUUACCCUUUAAGCCAUCUUUGGGCCAAAAGCACUUUUUUUGUAUUCAUAACUCUGCCCUCUUUUCUUCUUGUGCCAGCAGACAUGUAGCCUAACUCAUGCUUGCUAACCUACCCUCUCUCUCUCCAAAAGUUAAGCUCUCCACUUGUGGACCAGGACUGCACUCUCUCCCAUCACAUGCCUACCUCGUAAGAGCUGCUUGCAUGAUGAAUUGACAGAUGGGUGAA